CUUGUUCUCUUUGGUCUCUCCUCCCUAUUCCCAUCUGACUGCUCAUUCUUCAUUUCCCAUACCUUCUACUAUACCUCCUUUGGUUGAUAACACCUUACCUUCCUUGUCCCUUUCUACACCACACCCCAAUUCUCUUUCCAUCUUCAAAUAGUCUUGUACCCACCUCCACUUCUACAUCUAACCUUCCAUCUCCACCUUUAGCACAAUAACUUAAUAAUUUUCCCCCACCACCUUCGGAUCCUUUGCCCCCUACCACUUCAUCUCUUCUCCCAUCCUCUUCCAAUGUCCACCCAAUGAUAACUCGGUCUAAGGAUGACAUCUCUAAACCCAAAAUUUGGUCAGCUAUCGUUGAUCCCUCCCUCUCUGAACCCACCUCGUAUAAAAAGGUAUUAGACUGUCCAGCGUCGAAAUCUGCUAUGGAAUCCGAAAUUCAGGCUUUACAACGGCAAAAUACUUGGUCCUUGUUCCGCCUCCUAUUGGGUGUACACGAGUGGGUUGCAAAUGGGUCUUUCGACUUAAAAUGAAGCCUUGCGGUUCUAUUGAAUGACACAAAGCUCGCCUUGUGACUAAGGGGUUCAAUCAAACGUUUGAUGGCUUAUACGGCAGUUGGAUGUGCAUAAUGCCUUAUUGAAUGGAGAUUUGCAAGAAAUAAGUCUAUAUGGAACAACCUCCUUGUUUCCUUGACACGAAAAAUCUCAGGUAUGUUUGUUGUUUAAAUAAGGCACUUUAUGGUCUUAAGCAAAGUCAUCGGGCUUAGUUUUUAAAGUUCAGUUCUUGCCUUAUUAACUGGGGAUUCACUGCAUCCAAAUCUAGCACAUCAAUGUUUUACUUGUGCAACUCUUCUGCCUUUUUAAUCGUCCUUGUGUACGUUGAUGAUAUAAUAGAUUUUUGCUCAAGGAUUUGGGUUCUUUAUCUUAUUUUUUUAGCAUUCAUGUGUCUAAUGUUGGUGCUGGACUUCACUUAUCACAAAGGAAAUAUAUUUUGGACUUGUUGAAACACACUGAAAUGGCUAAUUGUAAGCCUCUACCGACGUCCAUGGUUUCUAGUAUUACUCUCUCUCUCAGAUGGUGAACCUUUGCCCAAUCCUUCUGAAUAUCGUAGCAUUGUGGGUGCUCUUCAGUAUUGUACAAUGACUAGACCAGAUUUAUCUUUUGCGGUUAACAAAGUGUGCUAAUUUCUUCAUGCCCCUACCACCACACAUUGGCUUGCAAUCAAGCGCAUUUUACGUUAUCUCAAGGGGACUGUCAACCACGGUCUUUCAGUACUGCCUUCUGCAAUUCGCCUCACAUGUUAUACUGAUGCAGACUGGGCAAGCUCUCCAGAUGACCGUCAAAGUACUAGUGGUUAUUGCACUUUCUUGGGAAAUAUCUUGUUUCUUGGUCGUCUUCCAAACAAAAGACUGUAUCUCGUUCUAGCGCUGAGUCAGAGUAUCGGGGCUUGGCUAACGCUGCUGUUGAAAUUGUGUGGUCGUUUCACUUCUUCGUGAACUUGGUUUUUCUCUUGACUCUUCACCUUUGCUUCUUUGUGAUAAUAUUAGUGUAACUUAUUUAGUUGCUCAUCUAAUUAUGCAUCAACGAACAAAACAUGUUGAAAUCGACCACCAUUUUGUUCAUGAAGGCAUUUUUAAUCGUGAA